GGGGGUGCAGCUCAGGGGUAGAGCGCUCGCCCAACAUGCAGGACCCUGGGUUCCAUCCCCAGCUCUGCCC
rnacentral:tRNA from 1 species